UACGGAGGAUGCGAGCGUUAUCCGGAUUUACUGGGUGUAAAGGGAGCGUAGACGGCAGUGCAAGUCUGGAGUGAAAGGCGGGGGCUCAACCCCCGGACUGCUCUGGAAACUGUACGGCUGGAGUGCAGGAGAGGUAAGUGGAAUUCCUAGUGUAGCGGUGAAAUGCGUAGAUAUUAGGAGGAACACCAGUGGCGAAGGCGGCUUACUGGACUGUAACUGACGUUGAGGCUCGAAAGCGUGGGGAGCAAACAGG
rnacentral:rRNA from 1 species